GACGAACGCUGGCGGCGUGCCUAAUACAUGCAAGUUGAGCGCUGAAGGUUGGUACUUGUACCAACUGGAUGAGCAGCGAACGGGUGAGUAACGCGUGGGGAAUCUGCCUUUGAGCGGGGGACAACAUUUGGAAACGAAUGCUAAUACCGCAUAAAAACUUUAAACACAAGUUUUAAGUUUGAAAGAUGCAAUUGCAUCACUCAAAGAUGAUCCCGCGUUGUAUUAGCUAGUUGGUGAGGUAAAGGCUCACCAAGGCGAUGAUACAUAGCCGACCUGAGAGGGCGAUGAGCGACAUAGGAACUGAGACACGGCCCAGACGCCUACGGAAGGCAGCAGUAGGGAAUCUUAGGCAAUGGACGAAAGUCUGACCGAGCAACGCCGCGUGAGUGAAGAAGGUUUUCGGAUCGUAAAGAUCUGUUGGUAGAGAAGAACGUUGGUGAGAGUGGAAAGCUCAUCAAGUGACGGUAACUACCCAGAAAGGGACGGCUAACUACGUG
rnacentral:rRNA from 1 species